rnacentral:rRNA from 1 species
UGCCAGCAGCCGCGGUAAUACGGAGGGUGCAAGCGUUAAUCGGAAUUACUGGGCGUAAAGCGCGCGUAGGCGGUUUAGUGAGUCGGAUGUGAAAGCCCUGGGCUUAACCUGGGAACUGCAUACGAUACUGCUAGGCUAGAGUGUGAUAGAGGGAAGUGGAAUUUCAGGUGUAGCGGUGAAAUGCGUAGAUAUCUGAAGGAACAUCAGUGGCGAAGGCGGCUUACUAAGCUACGAUUGACGCUGAGGCACGAAAGCCCGGGGAGCGAACAGGACUAGAUA